UACGUAGGGUCCGAGCGUUGUCCGGAAUUACUGGGCGUAAAGAGCUCGUAGGCGGUUUGUUACGUCGGAUGUGAAAACCCGAGGCUUAACCUCGGGCCUGCAUUCGAUACGGGCAGACUCGAGUGUGGUAGGGGAGACUGGAACUCCUGGUGUAGCGGUGAAAUGCGCAGAUAUCAGGAAGAACACCGGUGGCGAAGGCGGGUCUCUGGGCCACUACUGACGCUGAGGAGCGAAAGCGUGGGGAGCGAACAGG
rnacentral:rRNA from 1 species